CCGUGUUGCGAUGACUCCCAAACCGUCACAUAUCACCGAUGCUUAUCAUCGCAAGUGCUAUAAAAAUGGCAAGCGGUCUGAAUCAGACCCGUUCUUGUGUGAUAACCGUUCGCUGUUUAGCUCUGCAUCCCUGCCCAAUUCGCCUUUUUGAACCGAUAGGUCCUGAUCACCUGGUCACCUCUCUACUUCCUAUCAAAAGACACAGGAGAGGGCAGAGUUGGUCAGACUGGUCGAAAUGCAUAUGGUCUAAGUUGCCACAUGAAUGGGACAGUCUACUUUCCUUUCUUUUACUGCCUUUUAUGUAUGUGAUGGUGCUGAUUAUAUGUGAUUUCGUUUCGCAAGGAUCUGGUAAAAAGAAGGCCAGAGAUGCUUUUUCAUAUCACGCGGCAGCGGUUGCGAUGUAACGGUCGUUCUGUGAUAUGUAACUUUUAAAGAUCGCCGCAACACGGUUAUAAUGUGAUUUCAUGCCAGCCAGAUCUCCCUGUGUCAUAGCAUUGUGUGAUUGAUGAUAUAUAUUUUUGGGGAUUUGUAUGGUGCUGCCCACCGUGCUGGGAAGAGUAAAUACGGAUAUUUACGUCUUCCCGUUUUCUCCUGUAUUUCCGGUAUAGAUAGAGGUAGUAGGCCUCACGUAGAUCACGGCCUACAUUGCAUGGUAGCAGAGCGUGACGUUUUACGGAAGAUCAGCGCGUGGAGUCCGUCCCUCCGGAUUCUACACGUCAUCGCAGACGUCCGUCAUCCCUGGUGCGCGAAAGAUCGCUAAAACUGGUCACCAGGUUCAGCGAGGAGCAGCUCAGGAUCGUGAAGAAGAAACCACAGAGCGGAAACGUGGAGACAUAGUCAAUGACGGUGUCGAAAUGGGGAUACGCGGUGAAAAGCAUUGUUCCACAGUUGGCCCGUAAAAACACAAGGCACCCCAUGCGCACAACGGCAAUACGGCGUCUCUGCCGGCAGCGCUCUUGGGUUUCCGGAGCAGGAGUUCCAUCGUCUAUGGAACCCGUUGGCGGUUUCGAAUAGAACUAUUGACUCGCUUCACUUACGGAUCUCCCAUGCCACGGAACACCAGAACGGCUUGCGAUGGCGGAUUAAUAACACGGAAAAGGGACAGAGUGCUGCACGUGAUUAACAGGAACAGCGAGACUAAAUAUGCCGGUAGAACGGGCGCAGUGGUGUUGCCGGUUGUCAGUUUGAACAAAACGAUAGCCAGUGGUGAUCUUGCCAGUGUGACUUCUCAAGAGUUAGCAGUCAGACCGCUAGCAGCAUCGGUACCAUUUCCCGUUUAAGCGCUAAAGUGCAUACCAUGGCCCAAAACAUCACAAAACAUUUUCUGUUGAUUUCCAUCCCGGGAUUCGGACACACCAUCCCGAUGGUGGGAUUGGCCCGAAAACUGGCAGCGCGUAAUCAUCAAGUCACCUUUGUCAUCUGCAAAGCUGCCGUGGAACAUAUUCGAAAGAAGAGCGAAAUCACUCCGGAGGAUGAGAAAUCCAUCCAUCCAUCCAUCCGGAGGAUGAGAAAUCCAGCAAAGGGCGUCUAUGCUCUAUACUGGGUGGCGGACACCCAAUACACACCCAUGAGCAGGUCAGUUCAGAUGGGACUAGAGCAUACGGCUCUGCAGCGCCAUUUGUAUCAGAUCAGCAUCCGUCUUCGGAUCAAAAAGAUCGAAAUCCUUGAUCAUGGGAACGUCAGGCAUGAUGGCAGCCAGGGGGAACAAAACAGGAGCAACCACAAUUCGUCCCAACUAGCAGCUGCGCUCUUCAGCACAACACUGCAACUCGACGAAUGUGGGUUGUCACGGCUUUCCAGAUGGCAGAUUGUCGAAGCAAAAAAACAACUGGACAGAACUAAUUGUAAAGCAGACUUGAGACUGGAUUAGCCAUCAGACAAUGGACGGCAAUGCGAUCGGUGAUACGUGAUUCGGGACAGUCAGCAGGCUCUACGGUGUCUGCAGACUGCAGCAUAUAAAAAUGGCCGUCAUGGAGCACAACUGAGUAUCUAUUACGCCAUUGAAUUGCACAUUGGCUUUGGUUUGUUGGUUAACCUUGCAUAAACAUCGACGAUGAAAUCAGAUGCUGCUAGCCUCACGGCCCAUUUGUACAAACGCUAGAGAAACAUGUGUGAAAAGCGUUUGGCUCAUUAGAUGCGAAAAUGUCGCUGAUUACACAACAUCUACCCGCCAACGUAAUGCAGUGCAGCUUUUUGCAACAACAUUGCGAGGCGCUGCCUCAGUGGAUCACACUCACAGAGCCGAGCAGUGGCGUGCAGUGCCGAAGCUGAGUGCACACUGCACAGCAACGUUACGUGCGGUUUACUUAUAUAAGUUUUUGUAGUGCGGUGUGCACGGCACUGCGCCAAUAACGUAAGUGCAUUAAAAUUGUGAUU